rnacentral:lncRNA from 1 species
GCUGCUGGGAACCGGCCGGGGUGCCGGGUCGAAAGACAGACGCGCGGGCCGGGCGUGCGCGGGCUUGGUGGAGGGCGGGAAGGCUGAAGGGCGGUGACAGGUCGCACUGCCUCGCGAGGGCCAGAACGCCCAUUUCUGCAGAGGUGCACUCAGUGGCGUGGGAAAUCAAAUGCAUCCGGUUAUCCCAGUUCGGCCUCUCUGGGAUUCCGCGGGAGGGGGUGUCUGGUCUGGUUUGGUUUGGUUUGGUUUGGUUUGGUUUGGUCCGGUUCAAAGUAGCGCAGUCUGACUGAGCGGGAGGUGGAGUGGAAGGCGAGAAUAGGGGUGAAGGAUUAGACAGAAGAAGACUUUGAACUAGGAACAGUGGCAACCAGGGUGACCCAGGCUUUUGUGACCCGUAGAGGCAGAAGCUGCCUUAAUCCAUGUUCCCUUCGGGAUGCUGGUAUCCAACUGAGAAGUUGACGGAGCAUCUAUCGUGUGCCAGACACUGUGCUAAGUGCUAACGAGAAAUCGGUGAGCAAAACAGAAAAGAAAAAAAAAGAAGAAACGACUGCCAGCAUUGAACUUAGUACCUAGCAAAGUAGGUGGACAUAAAUCAAAUUGUCAGACAAGUAAAUGAGUAGUUGCAGCUGUGAUAAGGGGUAUGAAGAAUAGGCGCUUCCAUGAUGGCGGAACAUGACCUAGUCUGGGGUGGAGAAGGGGAGAUGAUUCCAGCUGGAAUAUGGCAGGUGAGAGUUAACUAAUAGCACUGAGUUGGCAGAGGCAGGAUGACCUGCCCCAGGCAGGUGCCCCAGAAUGAGAGGAUGUUGCUGCUGGUGGAACUCCAGCUUUAAAGCGGUGGAUCUAGGGCCACAUUCCUCAAGGCCAUAGCAAACAGGAAAGACCUUUUGGACUAGGGUCUUUGGAGUAGUCACAUGAGGCCAAGAACCCAAUAGGGCUGAAAGAGAAUCUCAUCAUAGGCUGAAUGGGAGCAGAGCAUUAGCUGCAACUCCAAUGUAUUAUAGUAAAAGGGGACACAUUGAUUAGAAUGAUUAUACCCCUCCAAGUGUAAGCUGUUGUUCAAUUUACCCAGGGCUUAAAAAUAUGUCAACUCUUCACAACCAUUUUUACUACAAGCCACACUCAACCUGUGUUGUUCCCUGAACCUGUGAUGCACUUUCAUCCGUUCAUGUCUCUACACAUCCUUCCUGGGCCCCAUAGAGGCCCUGCACCUUAAGGUUUUCAGCUGGAUUCCUAUUAGCUAGUUAUUUUAUCUCAGGUACAGAGAGUUAACUUUGCUCCUCAAUUUUCAGCACAUUGUCAUAUCAGUCCCUACAGGGUCCUUGUUUACAUUAUUUUAUAGUGUUUAUAUUAUUUUUUCCUCAUCUUUCUCGAUCCCCACUCUCAUUCUUCUAGACACAAGCUGCAAUAUGUUCGAUAGAGAUCCUUGAUAAUUUAACACAGAUAAUGUUUUGUUUAUGCCUCUUGCAUUUACAGAGAUGGUAUUGGACUGUAAAUCUCUAUUUCCCACUGUUUUACUCAACAGUCUGUUUUUGAGCUAUACCCACAUUGCUGUGUGUACACCUAGUUUGCUACCGAGUAUGCCAGAAAUUUUAUUCAUACAUAUCCCUACUGAUCGGGCAUCUAGGUUACUGCCAACUCCCUGAAGUCAUACUGUGGUGAAAACCCUUGUGAAUGUCUUUACAAACCUUUGCCAGAACUUAUUUUGUGCUCUUGUAGAACUUUGUGCAUACCCUCUGCUUCCUCAUUACACUGCUUGGCAUAUAGCAGAGACUCAACAAAUGUUGAAUACCUCUACUAUGAUGGUUAGUGUACUAGAAUAAUUUAUUUAUAUUUCUGUUUUCCUUAUUGGAUUAUUAGUACCUUCCAGACAGGGCAAAUGUCUUUUCUAUCUUUGUGUCCCUGGCACAUUAAAAGUGGUUGAUUUCAAGGUAUGUUCAAUGAAUGAAUAAAUACUUAUCUUCACUGCCAGUAC